AAGAUGUUUAUCAGCAGUAGGAUAGUCUUUUUGAAAAAAGAGUUCCUUUGAGAAGGAGCUAAUAUCCGUAAAAUUGAACUUAAUGAAGUUCAAGAGGUGGAAGGACCGACACACACAGAAUUGAAUUUGAUUGGAGAAUCGAAUUCAGAGCCAGUGAGGUGCCAUUAAGAAGAUCUGAUAGAGUACUGCAUCAACCGGAC
rnacentral:lncRNA from 1 species